rnacentral:rRNA from 1 species
GUCUAUGGCCACACCCCCCUGAGCACGCCUGAUCUCAUCUGAUCUUGGAAGCUAAGCAGGGCCAGGCCUGGUUAGUACUUGGAUGAGAGGAAUGAAAAAGACCCCUAAGAAG